rnacentral:rRNA from 1 species
UGAUCCUGGCUCAGGAUGAACGCUGGCGGCGUGCUUAACACAUGCAAGUCGAACGAAGCACUCUAUUUGAUUUCCUUCGGGAUUGAUUAUUUUGUGACUGAGUGGCGGACGGGUGAGUAACGCGUGGGUAACCUGCCUUGUACAGGGGGAUAACAGUUGGAAACGGCUGCUAAUACCGCAUAAGCGCACAGUACCGCAUGGUAUAGUGUGAAAAACUCCGGUGGUAUAAGAUGGACCCGCGUUUGAUUAGCUAGUUGGUGGGGUAACGGCCUACCAAGGCGACGAUCAAUAGCCGACCUGAGAGGGUGACCGGCCACAUUGGGACUGAGACACGGCCCAAACUCCUACGGGAGGCAGCAGUGGGGAAUAUUGCACAAUGGGCGAAAGCCUGAUGCAGCGACGCCGCGUGAGCGAAGAAGUAUUUCGGUAUGUAAAGCUCUAUCAGCAGGGAAGAUAAUGACGGUACCUGACUAAGAAGCACCGGCUAAAUACGUGCCAGCAGCCGCGGUAAUACGUAUGGUGCAAGCGUUAUCCGGAUUUACUGGGUGUAAAGGGAGCGCAGGCGGUGCGGCAAGUCUGAUGUGAAAGCCCGGGGCUCAACCCCGGUACUGCAUUGGAAACUGUCGUACUAGAGUGUCGGAGGGGUAAGCGGAAUUCCUAGUGUAGCGGUGAAAUGCGUAGAUAUUAGGAGGAACACCAGUGGCGAAGGCGGCUUACUGGACGAUUACUGACGCUGAGGCUCGAAAGCGUGGGGAGCAAACAGGAUUAGAUACCCUGGUAGUCCACGC